UGAAUAUACAGGGAUAAGCAGCAACUAGCACAGCUACACUGUAUAUAUUCCUACCAUUUUUGGAGUGUUUUCUAAAUGUAUGUUUAAUACAUCUGAGGAUCUGGAGCAAGGGGUGGAAUGAUGGUCCAAGGAGGAACUUCAGAUCCAGAAUUUUUUGUAAAGUUCUGGCUUGAAACAAAAUUUCAUUCUACUUGUUUUCUAUGAUGAGUUACAUUUCCUACCCCUAUUGAGCCAUCUUGUGGUGAACACCUGCAAUAGAUUAUCAUAGAGAUGAAUACCUCCCAAUAUUUAUCCUAGUUCUUGUUCCACAACAUAAAAAACAAUGGAAGAGAAGUGAAGAGAACAUGAGUAUAUUAGAGGAUGCUUUGAAGCAAUUCAAUGAGCCCCAGAGGGCAAUUUGCCUGUACUGCAGAUGAUGUU